rnacentral:rRNA from 1 species
CACGUAGGGUGCGAGCGUUGUCCAGAAUUAUUGGGCGUAAAGAGCUCGUAGGCGGUGUGUCGCGUCGGCCGUGAAAACCUGCAGCUUAACUGUGGGCGUGCGGUCGAUACGGGCAUCACUGGAGUUCGGCAGGGGAGACUGGAAUUCCUGGUGUAGCGGUGAAAUGCGCAGAUAUCAGGAGGAACACCGGUGGCGAAGGCGGGUCUCUGGGCCGAUACUGACGCUGAGGAGCGAAAGCGUGGGGAGCGAACAGG